rnacentral:lncRNA from 8 species
AUGUAUAUUGCUCUAUUAAUUGUUUAUUUAUUAAUUGAUNNNNNNNNNNNNNNNNNNNNCAAGAACGGACAACUUCUUACCAACCCAAACACACAAGAUAACUUCCUCUACCUAGACCAAAUCAGCAGUGAGGACGCAGGAAGCUACUCCUGUAGUGUUAAAGGCUACCGUUCUCCUGUUACGUUUGUUGGGGAACCAAAGUCUUUGAAGAAUGCAGUUGUAGGAAUCAUAGUGGUUAUUCUGAUUCUCAUACUCUGUCUGUUUGGGUUCAUGUGGUUCAGGAAGAAGACCUCCAAAUCCACCACUGACACAAGAGACAGAAGAGACACAGCAGAGAAUGGACAGGUGAGUAUUAUAGUCAGUUGACUGAGAACUGCAAUCAUCUGUGUAUAGAUGGACUCAAUGACUGUGGUAAUAUUUUUCACCCCUCAUGUUGUCUGUCCUCUCUCCCCAUCAGAGAGACUCUAAUCCAGUGUAUGACAACAUCUCAGGCAUGGCCAUGACCCCUACUGCAGCACAGAGAGCGAUCACAGACGAGCAGGAUGACGUUACCUACGCCAGCAUCCAACACAGAAACCAGGAAGUGCCUCCGGACUCCACCUUCCCACUAUCUCACCCCCAGAAACAGGACGAGGAUUUCCAGUACGCUACUGUGAAAUUCAACAGCCCCAGUGCUGCUCAAUAGACAUUGGAUUCAAUCCAAUCAUAGGUUAUAGGCAUUGUUGCUUUCAAUGUAGUUCUUCUUUUUUGAAAAAAUGCUUUUGGAAAAUGCUAUAUAAUUCCUCAAUUAGAAUGUCUUUAAUUUUGGCUUGAAUUAUCCCUUUAAAUUAAAGUAUAGGCCAAACUGUUCAGUACAUAUUCUACUGUUCUAUUAUGGUCAGAGGGGAUAAAAACGGUUCAUUUUUUACAGUAACUUCUUUGUUGUCAUAUCUCAAACGGACAGUUUCAGCAUUAAGGAUGCCAGCUUUAAAUAACACAAUAUAACCAACUUUAUUCAUGAGGUCUUAUAGUAAAUGUACUAUAAAUCACAGUAAUUUAAACAUCCCAUCCAUGCACCACACUAAACCUACACAUGUCUGUGUCUGAAAUGUCAUCCUAUUCACUACAUACUGCCAGGUCACAUUUCAGACACAGAUAUCCUCUUUAACUGUUAAGGGCCAAACAAAUGAUACCAGUGAAACAGGUUGAAGGUUGUAGCUGCUAUGACACCUUGUUUAAUGACGUGAGGUACUCAAUAAAUGACUAAAUACAACUAAACACAUGUUCUUUACAUCAGGGGUGGAGCAUGGAAAUGACAGAGACGCUGCAAUAAAAGCUUCUGUUUAUGUUUUGUAUCUUGGCAACAAUAUAUAGCAGCCAUAAAUCAUUAACCAAUGGAGCGCUCUACACAAACAAAAC